CCCACUCUAGCGCCGAGCUUCUUCAACCCGAGCCUUCACGCGACGCCGCCCAAAAACCCAUCGCCGAUCCUCUUAUUCGGCGAGCCACAGUCGCCGGACACCACAUCCGGCAAUCCCUCCCUCACGCGAGCAACACGGCGGCGAUCUUUUUCCCUCACGCAAGCACCAAGACCCCGUCGGAUCUUCUUCUAGCGAGUUCCUACCAGCACAGCCGCCGACGCUCUUCUUCCUCACGCGAGUUUCCCCCUGGUGAUUUUUCCUCACCAAAACCGCUGACCCUUUCUGCGCGCGAGCACCACACCGCCGUUGUCCUUGUUCCCUAGUGCCGACUGGCUUCUCCCUGCCCUAGUGUCGUCCGCCUGAUCCACUACCACCUCCGACCACGACGAGAGCUGGCCAGCAGGUAACAGGUAGAUGAGACAUGGAUGCUUGGAGAGAUGUCGGCCGCCAGUCCUGGGUCCUACGUCACACUCGAGAAUAGUUCUUUUCUUAUUGGGUUUUGUUAUCGUUUGGAUUGUAUGUUAAUUUUGCGUACUUUGCUUUUAAACAAGUCAUUGGGGAAUUUUGGGUCAAGUCUGUGAUGACAGGUGUUUUUGUUAGUGUCGUUGUUAGUUUUACGUUCGUAUUA